CCUACGGGAGGCAGCAGUGAGGAAUAUUGGUCAAUGGGCGCGAGCCUGAACCCGCCAAGUCGCGGGAGGGAUGAAGGUGCUAUGGAUCGUAAACCUCUUUUAUAAGGGAAUAAAGUGUGGGAAGGGGCCUAUAUUGUAUGGACCUUAUGAAUAAGGAUAGGCUAACUCCGGGCCAGCAUCCGCGGUAAUACGGAGGAUCCGAACGUUAUCCGGAUUUAGUGGGUUUAAAGGGUGCGUAGGCGGCCUUUUAAGUAAGCGGUGAAAGUCUGUGGCUCAACCAUCGAAUUGCCGUUGAAACUGGGGGGCUUGAGUAUGUUUGAGGCAGGCGGAAUGCGUGGUGUAGCGGUGAAAUGCUUAGAUAUCACGCAGAAUCCCGAUUGCGAAGGCAGCCUGCCAAGCCAUGACUGACGCUGAUGCACGAAAGCGUGGGGAUCAAACAGGAUUAGAUACCCUGGUAGUC
rnacentral:rRNA from 1 species